rnacentral:rRNA from 1 species
GCUCAGGAUGAACGCUGGCGGCGUGCUUAACACAUGCAAGUCGAACGGGAUCCCAGGAGCUUGCUCCUGGGUGAGAGUGGCGAACGGGUGAGUAAUGCGUGACCGACCUGCCCCAUACACCGGAAUAGCUCCUGGAAACGGGUGGUAAUGCCGGAUGCUCCAGUUGACCGCAUGGUCCUCUGGGAAAGCUUUUGCGGUAUGGGAUGGGGUCGCGUCCUAUCAGCUUGAUGGCGGGGUAACGGCCCACCAUGGCUUCGACGGGUAGCCGGCCUGAGAGGGCGACCGGCCACAUUGGGACUGAGAUACGGCCCAGACUCCUACGGGAGGCAGCAGUA